rnacentral:rRNA from 1 species
AAACGGCGAGUGAAGAAGCUUAAAAUCUCCGUGCAAGUUUUGUGCGGCGAAUUGUAGUCUAAGCGUGGGCGCUUGGGGCAAGUUCCUUGGAAGAGGACAGCAUGGAGGGUGAUACUCCCGUUCAUCCCUGAGUGGCUCGUGCGUACGACCCGUUUUCUUUGAGUCGCGUUGUUUGGGAAUGCAGCGCAACCCAAGUAGGUGGUAAAGCUUCCAUCUAAAGCUAAAUAUUGGUGCGAGACCGAUAGCGAACAAGUACCGUGAGGGAAAGAUGAAAAGAACUUUGAAAAGAGAGUUAAAGAGUACCUGAAACUGCUGAAAGGGAACCGAAUCGUUUCCAGUGUCUAUAAUCUGUGGCAUAUUUCAUUGGCGAGCGUUUGGUGCGUGUGCUGUGGCAGUGGCUUUUUCCCUGGCUGGCCUGGUGUGUGUGGUGUGAGUGUUUGCUGGUGCCCUGUGCUGCGGUGGGACGUCAAGGUCAGUUCGUAUGCUGCGGGAAAUGGCUGCGAGGAGGUAGGGCUUACGCUCCGCGUUUGUCUGUUAUAUCUUGGUGGACGAGUCGUCGCGGUUGGGACUGAGGUGCCUACAACGUGCUUUUGAGUGGGUUUGUGUCUCCGUGUGCGCCGUGUGCGGAUAGCUUGCUAUGCGUGUGUGGUUGUGUGUGGAUUGAUGCGGGCCUUAACUUGUCGCUGGCUCGU